rnacentral:rRNA from 1 species
UACGAAGGGGGCUAGCGUUGCUCGGAAUCACUGGGCGUAAAGGGUGCGUAGGCGGGUCUUUAAGUCAGGGGUGAAACUCCGUGGAGCUCAACCUACCAGAACUGUCCUUGAUACUGAAGAUCUUGAGUUCGGGAGAGGUGAGUGGAACUGCGAGUGUAGAGGUGAAAUUCGUAGAUAUUCGCAAGAACACCAGUGGCGAAGGCGGCUCACUGGCCCGAUACUGACGCUGAGGCCACGAAAGCGUGGGGAGCAAACAGG